rnacentral:lncRNA from 1 species
GGAAGGAGGAGCCAAGCUAGAGCAAGGCUGUUGUGUGAGCCCGGUUGGGGAGGAGCUAGUGCAGAGCCGGAGGAAAGCUGAAAGAUGCUGGGGUGGGCAGAGGGGGUAGGAGAACCAGGAAUGGGCCAGAGGAGUUGGAGCUGGGAGUGGAGACGCAUGGGGAGUAGGAUGGGGCUGUGGGAAAAAGCUGGGAGAAAGAAGCUGACGGUGGAGCUGCAGCGGGAACUGUGUCAGAGAUUCUGGAGGGGCCACCUGCAAGAGGAGGACGUAGCUGUGGGCAGAACUGUGAGAUGCACCUACGUCUCCUUGGAGAAACUUGAGGAAGCAGGAAUGCUGGAGAUGAGGUGAGGAGGAGAGGGUCCCUCUUUAUGGGAUGUAAACCUCAGGGUGGCAAGGGGCCUUCAGAUCACCAGUUCCAAUUCCCAUCCAUGCUAGCAUCCCCUCUUGGGCUCCUUCCCCCAAGAAUGGUUGCUGGCUUCUUCCGGACACCCCGGAACCUGCUGGGAGUGGUUUCACACCAUGAGUGAGGAUCCCUGCUCUUUCUCCCGUAGCCUCUUGUUUGAAGAACUAGAACUCACCUAAUGAGCUGGAUACUCACAUGUGGCUGCUAGCGGGGAAGCCCGUGGUGGCUACAUAAGGGCUCCGUUUUCUAACUCUCCCAGCUGCCCCACUCUCCUGGGUGUGCUGGGCAGUGGGGUUAGCGCGCACAUUAGUGCACACUCUCCCUGGGCGGCAGCAAACAGCCGAGGUCUGAUCUGUGGUCAGAUGAGGAGAAGUCGAAGAAAAGCAGCUGCAGCGGUGAGUGGGCCUAGGAAGAAUGGCAUCACCAGGUCAGGUAGGGAUGAGGGUGGUGUUCGG